AAGUUGCGUGCGAGAAGUUCAGAAGAAGCAGCAUGGUGGACCAAGUGUUUAAUGGAGUAUGCCUUAAAGAUUGUUGUGCUUGAGAGGAUAUAAUGCAUUGUGAAAUUGGACCUGCUUGUUGAAGAAUACACAAGGUCUUAUAUGAUGGUCAUAUUUUUUGAUCAAUGUUGGAUCAAUUUUGGAUGACUUAGCUAGAUUUUAUUUUCAGCUGCUAUAUGCAUGCUUGUAUGUUGGCUUGAUGGCAAGCAUCUUAAGCUAGUGACAUGACUAUAUAUGUACACAUUUGAUAUGGAUGAAUGAGAAUAUUAUUGAUGUGCCAAUUUGUGUA